rnacentral:rRNA from 1 species
CUACGUGCCAGCAGCCGCGGUAAUACGUAUGUCGCAAGCGUUAUCCGGAAUUAUUGGGCAUAAAGGGCAUCUAGGCGGCCAGAUAAGUCUGGGGUGAAAACUUGCGGCUCAACCGCAAGCCUGCCCUGGAAACUAUGCGGCUAGAGUACUGGAGAGGUGGACGGAACUGCACGAGUAGAGGUGAAAUUCGUAGAUAUGUGCAGGAAUGCCGAUGAUGAAGAUAGUUCACUGGACGGUAACUGACGCUGAAGUGCGAAAGCUAGGGGAGCAAACAGGAUUAGAUACCCUGGUAGUCCUAGCUGUAAACGAUGGAUGCUCGCUGUUGGCCUUUAUGGUCAGUGGCUUAGCGAAAGCGUUAAGCAUCCCACCUGGGGAGUACGCCGGCAACGGUGAAACUCAAAGGAAUUGACGGGGGCCCGCACAAGCGGAGGAACAUGUGGUUUAAUUCGAUGAUACGCGAGGAACCUUACCCGGGCUUGAACUAACGGUGACGAAUCUAGAGAUAG